UUAUCGGAGAGUUUGAUCCUGGCUCAGGACGAACGCUGGCGGCGUGCCUAAUACAUGCAAGUCGAGCGGACAGAUGGGAGCUUGCUCCCUGAUGUUAGCGGCGGACGGGUGAGUAACACGUGGGUAACCUGCCUGUAAGACUGGGAUAACUCCGGGAAACCGGGGCUAAUACCGGAUACUUGUUUGAACCGCAUGGUUCAAACAUAAAAGGUGGCUUCGGCUACCACUUACAGAUGGACCCGCGGCGCAUUAGCUAGUUGGUGAGGUAAUGGCUCACCAAGGCAACGA
rnacentral:rRNA from 1 species